AAACGUAACUUACGAUGUACGAUUGCACUUACGCGUGCGCAGUGGCUAUUUUCACUUCGAAGCGUAAAAAGUGUGAAUUUGCUCAUUUACUUUGAAUUCCCUGCGCUACCGCCGCAUUAUGACGAAAAAGAACACAGAACUUUGUGAGAAAGCAACGAAUCUCAACGUAUACGUAUGCCUGCCAACGGCAUGUCGAUCAACUGUACCGUUAUUCAGUGUUGUUUACAAAUCCAAAUGGAAGGUUCAUCAAAUUUAACGCAUUUGACUUGUGCAUGGAUCUGCGAUGCUGUAGGUGUUCAAAAAGAAGUCGGCAUGGACUGACAAGGUCAUAAAGGUGGUCAAGAAAUAAAUUGCCAACAGACAGCAGCAUUCCUUGAUUUAGAUGCAUUUCUCUUCAUGUCCUCUCCUGAAAGAUUUUCCAUGAUGCCCCAGGGUUAGGAUUGGGAUGCAAGAUGUACAGUACAUAUAUAUGAUGUCUAUGGGUACAUUGCUGUAAUGGCCUGAAAAAUCUUUUGCGAAACCGAGAAAUGUUCAUCUUCCAUUGCCAUGAUUGUGUAAAAGGACGAUCAGAGGAAUGAUUCAAAAAUAUAUGGCAGGAUUGAGAAUCUAACCCAUGACCCGUAGUAUGGUACUCUACCGACUGAUCAAUCCAUGCUGAUGGUCCAUCUGCUACAUUGAUGUCAUCUUAUAUAUUUAUUUAUUCAUUUAUAUCAUAUGGACAUUUAAAAAUUGACAGUAAAAUAAAAAAAGUUUGAUAUUCAGCAAAACAGAAUUUGUUACAAUACAUGUUUAAGAAAUUAAGUACAUGUACAUGCAUUGUUAUGCAUACAAUUAUGUACAUGUAAUUAUAUUUGUUAAUAGAUAAUUUUUUAGGUGAA